GCCUCCAUAGCUCAGUUAGGUAGAGCACCCGGCUGUUAACCGGGCGGUCGCAUGUUCGAUAUUCUGGGGCCUUAUAGCCACUAACUGGUUUACAGCCAGAACAAAACCCAUGCUGGAGGCG
rnacentral:tRNA from 1 species